AAGUUAAGCUCUCUAGCGCUGAUGGUACUUGGUGGGAAACUGCCUGGGAGAGUAGGACGUAGCCACGUUAAAUGUUCCAAGGUAGCUCAACGGUGGAGCAACCGGCUGUUAACCGG
rnacentral:rRNA from 1 species